UUCCGCAUAACGUGCUUUACAGUGAAAUCUUACAGCGGCGAAACCAAAACACGUUCGGAGCAUGGCAAAGAAGGGAGAUUUACACAUAAAUUGAUGAGGAUCCUGUGCCAGUGGAUGCCUAGCAUCUGUAACAUCAUUAUUGUUCAGUUCCACAACCCACGGCAGAUGAUUAAUGCACCCGAUCAGGCUGACAGUCUCCGUGAGGAGGUGGAGUGACUGAAAGGAGACUGCUUCCAUGCUGCUUUUGGUGUUAUACAGCUCUAAAGGUUCACAACUUGCAUCCUACAACAUCCAGAGUAACAUGUCCAGAGUAAGCGCAACUGUGAGGGAGACACCGUCCAUGGCUGAGGGUCCACACUGAGCAAUUCAUUCGCAGCAUGAAGCAACACAAGCUGGACAGUCUUCAUCUCUUUCUAUUACAGCAAGCAACCAAACCAGAUUUAUACAAUGGCUUGCCUUUUGCACAUUAGUAAAAGCUUGAGCUAAAUAUUAAAGUUCACACACUGUACAUAAUUUAUAUGUUGUUGCCUGCACUGCAGGAAUAUAAAGUUGUCAAUAUAAUAAACAUUAAUUUUCAGCAUAUUCAUUUAAACAUAUAUUACAGAACAAUUUGAGUGAACAAUUGCUCUAACUAUUGUAAAUAUGAAUAAUUUUAGAU
rnacentral:lncRNA from 1 species